AUCCCCCAUGCCCCUGCCAAAAGCACUCCAGAUGACAAAAAUCCACCACAAAGCUCUUUUUUAAAAAGAAAGAUUCUGAGAAGUUCCAUCAAAAGAAGAAAAGAAGAAAUGAAGGGAUGGUGCCAUGAGUGAAACAAGCUGCUCAGCAGGCACUUACUAAACACCAACUACAUGCCAUGCCCAGUGUUAAGGUCUGGGGAUUGAAAGAAGAGUAGGACAGGGUCCAUCUUGGAGGCACUUUCUGUCCCAUUCCCUUCCCAGAUGCUGGAGCCACAGCUACUUUUAGGAUUCUUGUGUUUUUCUCCUUCUCCCAAGGGGGAGGGCACUGUAGGGACAGUGUCUUGAUGUCAUAGUUAGAUCUUGGACUUUGAAGGCAAACUAGUGGGUUUGACUCUUGGCCGCAUGGUUAAUCACCUGUGACCUUGGGCAAGUCACCAGAAUCCUCCCUGUGUCAGUUUCCUCAUCUGCAAAGUGGAAUAAUGCCUUAAACAAGGAGGACCUUGUUUCUAUCUAUGAAGCAUGGCGAACAG
rnacentral:sRNA from 1 species